GAUGAACGCUAGCGGCAGGCCUAAUACAUGCAAGUCGAACGGUGUCUUCGGACAUAGUGGCGCACGGGUGCGUAACACGUAUGCAACCUACCUUACAUUGGGGGAUAGCCUUUCGAAAGGGAGAUUAAUACCGCAUAAGACAGUAGCUGGGCAUCCAGCAGCUGUUAAGAUUUAUCGAUGUAAGCUGGGCAUGCGUCCAAUUAGCUAGUUGGUGAGGUAACGGCUCACCAAGGCAAUGAUUGGUAGGGGAACUGAGAGGUCAAUCCCCCACACUGGCACUGAGAUACGGGCCAGACUCCUACGGGAGGCAGCAGUAGGGAAUAUUGGGCAAUGGACGCAAGUCUGACCCAGCCAUGCCGCGUGCAGGAUGAAGGCGUUAUGCGUUGUAAACUGCUUUUAUACAGGAAGAAACGACUCUUGCGAGAGGCACUGACGGUACUGUAUGAAUAAGCACCGGCUAACUCCGUGCCAGCAGCCGCCGUAAUAC
rnacentral:rRNA from 1 species